rnacentral:tRNA from 1 species
GGGGCUAUGGCGCAGUUGGUAGCGCGCUCCCACUAUUGUGGGGGAGGCGGGGGUUCGAUUCCUUCUAGCUCCA